ensembl:lincRNA
GCAGGAAUUAUGAGUGGGAAGAACAGGUGUUCCGAGAGAUUCUACGGUUCUUCAGUUGCUAAGGAAACCACUUUCACCAGUUCAGAAAGGCUGAUAACCUGGACUUUUUCUGCCAAAUUACUAUCAACAAAGCACUGAAUAACACAAAGUAUAUAUCUGAAGAAUCAGAAAAGCAGCAACAAAGCAUGAGUUUUGGAGAGUCAUUGCAUGAUGAUCUCUGAAGAUUCUACUGAAAUCUAAUCAAUAUGUCCUCACUGCCAUCAAUUCAAAAGAACUUGCUAAGAAGGCUCUAGAGACUUGUACUCUCAGAUAGUGAAAGUGAGAUGAUGUGUAGUGAAAGUCAUAUAUAGGUUGUAAAUUGCAAUAUGGAAUUCCCAAAUGCUGAAUUCAUUUUAUCUCUUCAGAAAUAAAAACCUGUUAAAGACUC